GACGAACGCUGGCGGCGUGCCUAAUACAUGCAAGUCGAACGAAACCAUCGGGACUAUGGUCGCACGGCGUCAGAACGGGUGGGGACCUUCCCAUAGGUUUCGAAUACCUCUCCGACAGGGAUACUAACACCGGACAAUAUCUUAUGACGACAGAUUUAUCGCCCUUGGUUGGGCACGCGUUGGAUUAGCUUGUUGGGAGGCUAAAAGAAGACUAAGGGGACGAUCCAUAGGUUGGUUGGGAGGAUGAUCAGCCACACUGCGACUGAGAAACGGCCCAGACUCCUACGGGAGGGAGCAGUGGGGAAUAUUGGACAAUGGGCGAAAGCCUGAACCAGCAAUGCCGCGUGAGUGCUGAAGGCCUUAGGGUUGUAAAGCUCUUUUACCCGGGAUGAUAAUGACAGUACCGGGAGAAUAAGCUCCGGCUAACUACGUG
rnacentral:rRNA from 1 species